AUGGUUAAGUUAGAAAGGGCGCACGGUGGAUGCCUUGGCACUAGGAGCCGAUGAAGGACGGGACGAACACCGAUAUGCUUCGGGGAGCUGUAAGCAAGCUUUGAUCCGGAGAUUUCCGAAUGGGGAAACCCACUGCUCGUAAUGGAGUAGUAUCCAUACUUGAAUACAUAGAGUAUGAGAAGGCAUACCCGGGGAACUGAAACAUCUAAGUACCCGGAGGAAGAGAAAGCAAAUGCGAUUCCCUGAGUAGCGGCGAGCGAAACGGGAACAGCCCAAACCAAGAGGCUUGCCUCUUGGGGUUGUAGGACACUCUAUACGGAGUUACAAAGGAAUGAUAUAAGCGAAGAGGUCUGGAAAGGCCCGCCAAAGAAGGUAACAGCCCUGUAACUGAAAUGUUAUUCUCUCCAGAGUGGAUCCUGAGUACGGCGGAACACGUGAAAUUCCGUCGGAAUCCGGGAGGACCAUCUCCCAAGGCUAAAUACUCCCUAGUGACCGAUAGUGAACCAGUACCGUGAGGGAAAGGUGAAAAGCACCCCGGAAGGGGAGUGAAAUAGAUCCUGAAACCGUGUGCCUACAAGUAGUCAGAGCCCGUUAACGGGUGAUGGCGUGCCUUUUGUAGAAUGAACCGGCGAGUUACGAUCCCGUGCAAGGUUAAGCAGAAGAUGCGGAGCCGCAGCGAAAGCGAGUCUGAAUAGGGCGCAUGAGUACGUGGUCGUAGACCCGAAACCAGGUGAUCUACCCAUGUCCAGGGUGAAGUUCAGGUAACACUGAAUGGAGGCCCGAACCCACGCACGUUGAAAAGUGCGGGGAUGAGGUGUGGGUAGGGGUGAAAUGCCAAUCGAACCUGGAGAUAGCUGGUUC
rnacentral:rRNA from 1 species